GCCGCCUUCGGAGUGAAGGGGGUCUAGGGUCUGCCGGUAGUGGUUUGAGGAGUCGGCUUCCCUUCCCUCCCGCCUCCCCUUCUAGUGGACGCUUAACUCUAGCGCUUGAGCCACCGCAACGCGCUUCGCCGCCCCGCCGCCCGUUCGCCCCGUCCUACCGCCGCCGCGACCGAGGCCCCCACAGGGCCUUCGACUUCUUCCACGAGCUCUGCGCCUGUCUGUCGGGUCUAGACGACCGGAGCGACCCGCGAGAGAGGUGGAAGAUGCUCGUGUUGUGGGGCGUCCGCGCCGCGUUGGAGUUCAGGAGGCAACUCGUCGCGCGCGAGCGGUAGUUGGCGGUGAAGGAGCUGCGGAGGGAGGGGCGGGUCUUCCGCAACCAAGCGCAGCUCCCUCUUCACGUGCGCGACCUGCUAAGGACCUUCUUUUAACUCCUUCGUAACUCGUCGACAUCACGUUCAUGUCCCCUAUAGUAGUCAUGUUGCCUCUCCAACGUUAUCCUUGAGCUCCAAUAGUGAGUCGCGGUUCUUUAACAUAGUACAAAGGACGCCCUAAUGGUUGAAAGUUUACUUCUCUAUGUACGUGAGGCCCUUCUUCUAUAUCUACUCUUUAAGAAAUUCCGUGAUAACGUACAGGUUCUUUAGGUAAGUUUGACGUUCCAAGACGACGCUUGUGUAGUGGUCGCACGACCAAACCUUGAAUACCUAUACUACAGGCACAUGGUUCUUCCUCGAAUACUUUCUAAUACGUCCACCCAAGUUCAACUCACAUUUUUUGGUCCACUAUGACUAUUAGGACUUCAUUCACUUGAAAACUUCUUCCGACAAGCCACGGACUUCCUUUCCGGACAAGACAAGUUCAUGACGCGUCUUCUCCAACGGUUAUACUCCGUAGUACGGAAUAAGUCCGUCAAAUAUUCACGAGAAUGAUCUCCACCUGGGCCUCCCGAGGGUUCUGGUUAUCUUCACGUACGAGUACUAGGAGAAGCAAUACAUCCGCUAUACGACCCUACCGAUGUAGUCCGUGAACGUAGACUUUCUCUCGAAUAUCGACGCGACGAACUAGGCCUACGUUAUUCACUGUCACCAGGUCGAUUAGUAGCGGUAAGACAUUCUCUUCCACUAAGUAGGUUUCCUCUUAGACUAAAGUGAAAACAAGAGCUAUCUUAUAAACUUCCCCGUACGGCUGGCAAAUUUCAAGCACAACUCGUUCAAGACGUCAGUGUUGGUUCAGACUAUCAAAGAAUGUUUGAAUCAUUAUGGGACCUCAAAAUACCAAUGUGAUAUAGUCUUGACGACCCACAUCUGUGUCGUAACACGUUAUGUUAUACCAGUGAAUCUCUACGUUGUGUCGCCUGUAAGAAGUUGUAGGACUUCUCGGCACCUCUCUUCAAUAACGCUAUAGGAGGUGAACAACGCCAACUGGAGAGAGGGGGUGGUCGUCACUCCCUCCCUCAAAGAGACAACGAACUCGAGUAUUCAUGGAUGUUAUCGUACUACCAAAGACGGAGACCUUUUCCCAAUUUGAAACUAGGUCAGUAAAGACGUUAUAACCUAGGAUAAUAAGUCUACACACUCGUUCGGCGUCUCCGUGUUUUCAGUUUUCCACGUGAACGUGCCGCACCAUCUUGAUCAAGACUUGGAUAGCCUUCAUUCUCUCUAAGUUAGAGUCAACUACGAUAAGAUAGUUUCUUUAGUAGAUGUAGCCAGGACCAAUCAUCGUAUUAAGAAAAACAAAUGGUACACAUAGCAUUACACUUAGGGAACCUGGACACUGAUAAGACCUCGUUGGAAACAUGAAUACAAGACCAGUACUUGACUUGAUUAUUUUAUCUGUCGGAAAAAAGAAAGACAACGGUCAGUGAUGGUGUGUGGUAUGUCAAUAAUCUGAUCAUUUUAUGUCUACACUUCAGUUCUUUAAAGUUUUUCAAGGGACAUCGACGUUGUCACUUUGCCCGUACACGUUUGACAUCUCUUUUUUUUCCUCUGUUGAUCGUCCCGUCUCUACCUAUUCUAGUUUGUGAAGGUUAGUAAAACGUCGAUCGUCGGAUCGUGAUAAGCUGUGCCCUUAGUGAAUACUAAAUCAUUAACUACUUGACUAGGAUGUAUAUGACUAUCCGUACGUUAAGGUUAAACGUAAGGAAUUAUGAGCGAAAUACCAGGGUCUUAUUUUUAUAUUGACCGAAAUACUCUUUGUCGACGACACAACACCUAAAGUACUAACGGAAACACAAGUUAAAAUAAAGUAUUGGAAAACCCGUGACUAGUCUAAUUUCUUUGACACUAAAAAAUACGAGCCUAGUCUUUGGAAAAACGAAAUUCGGAAACUGACCCAUCUGAAUCGAACGAAAUCGACACGUUUAGUUGAACAUCUGUAAACGAAUGUAGGUUCAUUAAAGUUCGAUACAAUUUUUGGAAGCGAGAUACUAGCUUUGUGUGUGCGCACGGAACCAUCUAUUACUUCGACUAUCGUAAGAGUCAUUUACACCUAACAGUUCAUUCUACGGUAUGUAUUUCUUGAUGUCGAGGUGACUGCCGUUCCUACUACGUUCUGGAGAUCGUCUGCAGCACCUCUGUAGUGGUGUUUACGAAGACCUCACGAACUUCCGUAAGAUACCAGAACACUGUCCUUGUCUUCCGAGAAACGGCCUUAAGCUCGUCGACGUCCAAGGCUCCAAUGCGAGUCUGCGCACGAUGCCAAACCGCUCUCGAGAUCGUCUUCGAAUGCUCGAGUAAAUGUUCCGCCACUACCUAGGAUUCUUGACAAUAGGACUGGGUUCUAGCAACCAGUUCGUAAGCGGCCUCGUCUAUUCUUGCUAUGACCUUUAGACUCCAGGUGUCUGGUAUGGAAAACUAUGUACAUUACUCUCCUCUAAGUACAAGUCUUAGUGACACUACAUAUAAUGGACGAUUUUAAACUCCAACGUUAAAGAAGGACUUCUUUAUGACUUCACCAAUGUGGAAAAUCACUUGACAAUAUAGUAUAGAACUACCAGG
rnacentral:rRNA from 1 species